rnacentral:rRNA from 1 species
CCUACGGGUGGCAGCAGUGAGGAAUAUUGGUCAAUGGGCGUAAGCCUGAACCAGCCAAGUCGCGUGAGGGAUGAAGGUUCUAUGGAUUGUAAACCUCUUUUAUAAGGGAAUAAAGUGCGGGACGUGUCCCGUUUUGUAUGUACCUUAUGAAUAAGGAUCGGCUAACUCCGUGCCAGCAGCCGCGGUAAUACGGAGGAUCCGAGCGUUAUCCGGAUUUAUUGGGUUUAAAGGGUGCGUAGGCGGCCUUUUAAGUCAGCUGUGAAAGUCUGUGGCUCAACCAUAGAAUUGCCGUUGAAACUGGGAGUCUUGAGUAUGUUUGAGGUAGGCGGAAUGCGUGGUGUAGCGGUGAAAUGCUUAGAUAUCACGCAGAACCCCGAUUGCGAAGGCAGCCUACCAAGCCAUGACUGACGCUGAUGCACGAAAGCGUGGGUAUCAAACAGGAUUAGAUACCCUUGUAGUC